AAGGUAUAUGGUCGCUCGGGAGCGAAGAAGCAGAGGCCAGGAGAGGGUGAGAAGGGAUGUGAAGGGGAGGAGGGCUCCUACUGCCCAGGGACUACAGCCGCUGGGAUAGCUGCUAUGAGGUCGCGCCCUGACUGUGUUGGGACCGGGACCGCCGGCCAGGCUGAGGUCCCGGUCCCUAUUGGUGCUUGUAGGGCCACCCAGGGGCGCAAGCGCUAGGUUCCGCGCAACUUCACUGCUGGGCCCUGCGUCCAUCCAAACUGCCCCGCCCAAGGGUGUUGGACUCCGUAUUCGGGGCUACUGGCUGCAGGCGCUGGCAGGAAGCAGGGGGGUUUGUCCAGCUGCUGAUUAGGAUAGAUUAUGUUGUUUGUGAGACACGGAAAAACCAUGCUGAGACCCUGGACUUGCGUAGGUGUCCCGCGGGCUUCCAUAUUCUUCUACUGUAUCAGAAAAGUACGGUUAGAUUGAAGAGAGCUCCGACCCAUUACCACCGCCCAUUAACCUCCAGACAAAAACCAAAAACGGUAAAACAAAAAAGUCAGGAUAUUCAGGUGAAGCGGCUUCGGGGAUCGGUGGGCAGUCACAGAGCUGGGCUGUACCGAGCCACCAGGUCUAGCGGCCCUAGGAGGAGCUGCUGGCUUGAGGGCACGCUCAGGUGGAGCCGCGGUAUCUGGACAAUCCGAGAAGCUAAGCUCUGUGGGCCGGGUGGAACGGAACUCCAAGGUCCAAAAGGUCCUUCCCAGCUACCCGGGACCUGGUGUUUGGUAACUGGCAAACCAGAUCAGCUAUGCUGGAGAAGGGGAUCGAAGCUUGGGAACCUCCGGACGGGGAAGCUGGAGUCUGGAAGGGCGGCCCAGCAGUCGCAGCCGGGAUCCACCCUUUUGAAACAGAUAAAACACUACCUCGUCAGAUAAGAUCAACUGCCUCCAUUUCUGGAUUUAAGCAGGGACCCCAGGGGCUGCGGCUGGUGAAGCCCUGGGAAUGAAGACUCACCUGGGGCCCAGAGCCCGCGGAGAGACUUUAUUUCACUUUCUUUUGUUUGAUAUUACUUUAUUUUCAAAGAGAUCUGUAGCCUUGGGCUCUGGCAGGCAAAGCCGUGUCCUGAGGACAGCCUGCAGGAUCCCCACCUCUGUCCGAAGACUUCUCCUCCCCCUCCCCCGUGCCCGCACGCAGCGAGGUGAAGCCAGCUGCUUGGGAGACAGGCGGUCCAGCAAACGCAGGCUUCAGUGCGAAGGGACUCCCGUGAAAGUCCUGCCUCUUCAUCCGGAAGAACAGGAAAGGAUUCCAUCAAAGUGUCCUCUUUUUUCCCUCCCUCCCUCUCCUUCCGUGCAGAAAUCAACCCAUGGGUGAUAGCUACCCCAGAGACAGAGUUGCAGGGACUGUAGACAAGAGGCAGAGCAGGACAAAUGGACUGUCACUUGAAUGAGUUCUGAAUCAAGACAGAAACCCUGCCCUACUGUUCUUUCGCGGACAGUUCAAAGGGUCCUAGGUGCUACCAUCUCAAACGGACCUUGGGGGCUGCAACCAGCUGCUGGCUGAAGGAAGCAAAGGGGCUUUUCUAGUUCUUGAACAAGGAAGCUGUGGCCAGGACUCUAAGAAAAACAACCCCCAAGACUUAAUCUUGGUGCAUCAGCCUUCAGCGCUACAGGCCAUUUUUUGCUAGGAUUGAGAACAGGAGGAAGAAAACAGCAAAAGAAAACAAAGUAAAACCUUGGCUGGGUACAAAGAAGACAGUAAGGGGGCGGGGGGGGGGGAAGAGGAGAGAGAAAACCGAAGGAGACCUUAAACUUUUUAACCAGAAGAUUAGGUUAGCUGGAUGGGAAGGGAUCCAUCAAAAUCGCAGGGCGCCUCCCCCUCCUACACGUACACACAGUGAUUGGGGAGCAACUAAUUAGUCAAUCCCCCAACACUAUCACCUUAAAGUAAAUACUUCUCCAUCCAGUCAUUGAAUGUUUUCAAAGAGUGUUUUAAAUUAAAAGGAAGCUAGAUGGUUCUAUUAGGCAUCCUUCAGCUAAGUAGCUUAGUCGUCAAGUGUCUCCCCCUUUUCUACAACUACUACAGUACAUCACCACAAAAGGGUUAACUGUGAUUUUUUUGGAGCAAUUAAGUAGAAUUAACUACUUUAAUGGGGGUACUUUAUUUCUUGCAGGACUUCCUUAGUCCCCAAACAAAAUCUAAAAGCAACAUUUACAUAAAACAUAAAGUACUCAGUACAGAAAUGAAGUUAUGUUUCCCCGAACACAAUAAAUCCUACUUCUAAUCUUCUCAGAUAGAAAAAUCAGCAAUGAAAAGGUCUCCCUUUGUGGGGAGGCAGGAGAAAGGAAGAGGGGACAACUUUGAAGAUUAACAUAAAACCUCCUCGGUUUCAUCUGCUAAAGUCUGUAUAGGUAAAUCAGCCACGUGCUCACAGUGACUUUAAAAACAUCUCUAGAAUUAUUGUUCUUUUCAGAUUAAAUUCAAACACAAUGGUUUGGGAGGAUGGGUGAGGAAAGAUGUUCGCUUUCUAAUUUCUCCUGAAAAAAAAAUCGGCUACC
rnacentral:lncRNA from 1 species